CCUGUCACUUCCAGCAGAGUCGUUAGUGUAAUGCAGUUGAACUGUCAGCGGCAGGUGUGUGCCUGCAGCUCCGGACUAGCUUAAAAUAUCAACAAUGGCGGCCAGAAAGUACACGGAGCACAGUUUAAUAGUUUUAAACAACAAGAGUUCUUUUAGUCAAUGUAAAAGCAACCGGUGUCGUAGGCUCUUUUUUUCUUUUUCUUUUUAAUCCUUCUCUCGUGACCGGCGGACUACUACCGUACUUUGGAUCGCCUUCGUUGAAACACGAGGGGAAAACCAACAACUUGAUGUGUCGCUUUUUUUCUCUCCAUAAUAUUCACUUUUAAGACCAACGUCGACGGUCUUUCGGGGUGUUUGUGCAAGUUUGAGGCGCUCGGGGACUCACCUUGGGACGCUGGAGAUGAUGCGUCGUCGCUGCCAUCCUGGUCCGCCAUUUCUCCUGACGUCACCCGGAUAACCUGCCCGGAGGAUUCCGGCUCGGCUCCCCGCCCCCCUCACCUCAUACGGCCAGGCUUACCGUGCUGUGAACCCGCCGUGAGACGGCCACUGAUUGGCGGCGGCGAGACGGAAACCAUGGCAACCAGCUGUUUUGGCAUUUCCAGCCACGGAUGAGGAGGCAGACGGGGAGGAGAAAUUGGCCUGCAGCUUCCUCCCCGUGUGAAUGACGACAGUGUUUUCUCACCAUCCACAACGAGCCAGUGUUUGUACGCAUCAGGCUCCAGUUGAUAGACUGAUCCAGCCCCCGCCCGACAAUGAAAGCAAUGAGAACGGGAUGUCAUCUGGAGACAAGAGGACAUCUCACACUUUCCAACGUCUCAAUGCGAAGGGAUGCACACGCAGCUGCUUCUGCCUCAUCGCGCUCAUCUUUGCAGAUGACGAAUGUUUCAAGACUUAAUUUCCCAUACAAAAAUUUAAAAUGAAUGCCUGUGUGUUCAACCCUUUCGACACAACUUAUGAAAUACUUUGGAUGAAUACACAUCAAUUCCGGAUGUACGAAAACAGGGACCAAAUUUAGCCGGAAAAAAAAUAUAUAAUUGAAAACCGAAUCAUACAAAAACUAGGGCAUAUUAAAAGUACGGUUCCACUGUACAGUAUGUGCCUUUUAGGAUUGACACCUUACUCACAAAGGAAUACAGUAUAUCAAACAACAAAGCUAAGAAAAAACUACAAUUCAAUAUCUUCCCCACUAUCUAAUGGCUUCUUCUUCUUCCUCGACAAACACAGUGUUACCUUUACCCUUGGUUGCGCUUUACCAAGUAAUAUGCGAGGCCACUUUUGUUGGCUUCAAACUGUUUUAACAGCUGUCGGCUAUCCGCUGACGAAUAGGCCUCCUUGUCAGUGCCUCGUGAUUUGUUUAGUAGCAGAUGCUUGUGUCCGCAGGUGCUACGUGAAACGUGUCAACAUACACGCGGCCCACACACUGACACACUUCUAUGAAUGCAAUCAUAUUGAGGCAAUUCAAAUGACAGCCAGAUAAAGAUUUGCCUUCCAGAGACAAACAAUAACCUUCCAUGUGUCCGAUCCAUAAACAGAACAAGGUCAUUCGCGACGGCGUCCAAUCGACCGGUUGAACCUACCAGUGUGUGUAUCUGACAGCUUCACUCAAUCAUUUGACAUUUUAGUCAACCAGGCGACGAUAUUCGAAAUAUUACUAGGGUGAGCUACGUUUGCUUGGCAACAAAGUUUCUUUUGAGGCUAGCAUCCAUCAUAUUUGAUUAUGGUUCACAUCUCAAAACAUUUGUAAAUUGGGUCACUCAUCUCUCAAGUCACCACCGUAUGACGAAAUGCCAGUAUUACAAACCACAAUGGUACCUUGACUUACAAUUGCCCCUAAAUUACAAUUUUUCUUUAUUUUAGAGCUGUUGCUUCAGCUACAUCGCUGCUCGAGUGAAGUAGAGAAAAAAUGAGCAAUUAAUGUACGGUAAUGCCCUUGCAUGUGCACAUGGAGAGUCACAGUUGCACUUUCAGGUGUUCAUUGAACGGGACAGUCAAUCACGCAAAUACAAAAUGAGAACACUUGCAAGGAGGUGCUGGAUGCCACAGCUCAAACCCAGACUCUCACAUGCAGACUAACCGAGCAACCAGACUCCAGCUCCUGACAUCACUCACUCAGCCACGCUCCUUAAAGGUGCACAUCCAACAAACGAAUACUACAAUACGUACAGUAUUUAAACUUUAUAAAACCAGUUUAUUUUUUUACAUUCUCUUUUAUUAUGUUUUUAUACAACACUUUGAAAUGUUUACAUUAGUAGCUGGAACUGGUUGAAGACAUUUCAAUUCAUUUCUAUUGGGAAAUUGAUUUGAAUCCCAAGUCCUAAGGUAUUGCUCUGAGGCUAUCGAGCAUUGCUAAUGAUUUGGCUUCAAUUGCACCAUUUUACUCGCCCUCUGUGACUGCGCAAGGUUCAAAUGACACACUGGCUAUUGUUGGUCUUUCCUUGGGUAUAAGAAAAUGCGUGAAAGGCGAGCAAGGAGAACGAUUGGCAAGGUCACAGGAGAAGCGGGGCUAGAGGUGGAAGGGGGGGCUGCUACAGGAGAUAGAUAAUGAUAUC